AGGCCAGCUGGGUUGCAGAAGCACGAAGCUCCCUCCUCACCAGGUUACUUCGUGCUCGACGUACGAGUCCACGUCGCCGGCGCCUCGACCCCACGCCCGCCCAGACCGCUAGCGCUCUAUCGCCCCGUUCUACCGGAGCCGUCUGCCCCACGUCGUCGUCAAGGGAGAUGUCGCGUCGGCUAGGCUACCGUGGAAGCGGACGCGAGAAGGCGCCCCCAGUUCAUUGUCUGUCCGCCUCCGUGUCAGCUGCAGGAAGGUGAGCUCAUGAUUACUGCCUCCGGCUCGCUCUUGGCCGUGCACGCUGGCUUUCCUUGCGCUGCCUCGCGCGUGCGGCUUGCAUGCUUCGGCUGCGUCGUGUGUAGUUCGCGGGCUAGAUGUGUAUCUGUGGUGUGCAUGCUGUGCUUUGCUGUGCAGCGGCAAAAUGCAGCCGUUGUUAUUAGUUUUCUCGUGUUCUGGGUUUAUCUUCCUCCGUUCGUCUUCUAUUUGUGGCGGUACUGCGAGAGAUAACUCAAACCCUUCAGUGCUUCAAUGAUUUGCUCUGGUGGCGUGAGAUUUUGAAUAGCUCCAACUGACCAAAGAAGUCUCUACAUGUAAAGAUCUGUUUUGUGCUAAUCCGUCAAUAAAAAACAUGUAAAGAUUGCCUGCUUUAUAGGUGUGUACUGGUUUUGAUUCUUCGCGUGCUUCCUUUGGCUUAUUUUACCUUUUUAUAUGGCGAGGCGUGGUACCUUUGUGGUCCAUCAUCCGGGCCGAUCGCUUUCUUGUUGGCCGUCAUGUGGUUCUAAAAGUCUUUCUUUUGGCCGGGAUCGCAUAUAUGCUAUUGUGAUAUGUGAAGAUCCAUGAUCAAAGUAUUAAUAGAGCUCCUCCUUUUUUUUGGCGAAUACUAGAGCUUCUCCUUGAGUGCAUGUUUGCAUGUAUUGCUGAUAAUUUUUGGGUUAUUACUUGUGGCAUUUUCUGCAUAGUUAUCUUAUGUUAGGAUCACAUCGUGUUGGGGCCGAUUCUUGUGGAUGGGGGUGAGCGGGCAUUUAUUAAAUUGCCAAACAAAAUUGUGGAAGUAAUAUUAACUUUGCCGAUCUCACUUCUAUGAAAUCAGGUGUGGUUCAUGUUUCUAUUUCUUUAUGUUCUUUUUAGUUACGAUGAUAUAUAAACUCAUGCAUCCACUCAAGUAGCAUUAUGCAACAUUAUAUUAUUGCAUAAUUCUUAUUUUUGAAAGCCAAAAAUCUAUAGAAGCAAAAAUGAUCAGUUAGAGGGAUGAAGGUAUAAUUAAGUGUAUUAAUGAUAUGUAUACCAUAGUGUGGUGGUUUUAUCAGUUGUUAUAUAUGUAUAGAUGAUAUGAAUCAAUGAUGAAGUAAUGUAUGUUUAUUAUACAAAUCAGCAUUCCAUGGUGAUGAUUCCCCAUCGAAUUCAAUCAAGUUAUACAUGGAUGGUAUAAGCCCGGAUAGAGAUUGACUGUAGGAAGUUUUUCUUCUUCACAUA
rnacentral:lncRNA from 1 species